AUCGAACGCUGGCGGAAUGCUUUACACAUGCAAGUCGAACGGCAGCACGGACUUCGGUCUGGUGGCGAGUGGCGAACGGGUGAGUAAUGUAUCGGAACGUGCCCAGUCGUGGGGGAUAACGUAGUGAAAAUUACGCUAAUACCGCAUACGAUCUAUGGAUGAAAGCGGGGGAUCGCAAGACCUCGCGCGAUUGGAGCGGCCGAUAUCAGAUCAGGUAGUUGGUGGGGUAAAGGCCCACCAAGCCAACGAUCUGUAGCUGGUCUGAGAGGACGACCAGGCACAGUAGAACUGAGACACGGUCCAGACUCCUACGGGAGGCAGCAGUGGGGAAUUUUGGACAAUGGGCGAAAGCCUGAUCCAGCCAUUCCGCGUGCAGGAUGAAGGCCCUCGGGUUGUAAACUGCUUUUGUACAGAACGAAAAGGUUUCUACUAAUACUAGGAGCUCAUGACGGUACUGUAAGAAUAAGCACCGGCUAACUACGUGCCAGCAGCCGCGGUAA
rnacentral:rRNA from 1 species